GGGUCUUGCCCCAAAAAGAUAAAUAAUUCAACAUCGAGGUCAUAAUCUUCUUCUUUUAUAAGAACUUUAAGAAAAAAUUGUGCUGUUAUCCCUACGGUAACUUAAUUGAUUCCCAGAUUGGGGAUAGAGAAAGACGAAAGAAAAAGAUUUAGUUUUUUACCGCCCCAGUCCAACAAAAGUAAAGUUCGAUAGGGUCUUGUCGUCCUUCUUUGUAAUACAAGUCUUUUUACUUGAAAGAAAAGUUAAAAUAGUUCGGGUGAUAAAGAAAUUUAUAUGUCAAACCUUUCAUACUAGCCUUCAAUUGAAAGGCAAAUGAUUACGCUACCUUAGCACAAAAAUUGCGGCUAUUGAAAAAAUCAUUGAGCAGGCCCUACUGAAUAUCAGAUCAUUCAGAAAUGUUUUUGAUAAACAGACAAUAAAUAUAUAGGCCGAGUUCAUGGACCCGAAUGUGAAAUUAAUCGAAAAAAAUGAGUUAACAGAAGGAAGUCAGAUAAAUUUUACUAAUAAAAUCAUUGUGAAAAUUACUAGGAAGGCUCCUUUUAAUAAAGUUCCUUAGAAGAAAUAGAAAAGUUUUUAAACUUGGAGGAUACUAUUAAUCCUAGUGUUUAGAAAGUAAUGAAUGGCUAACUUUUAAAAAAGUUUGUCCCUUUUUAAAUUUAAGUAUUGUUACCUUCAAAGAGAACCAGAUAUAAUAGAAUGCGGAUGGAAUUUCAUCUCUAUUCCCUCUUUGGAAAACUUUAUGAAACAAGCUUGAUAAGAAGGAAUAGAUCAUUUCAAUUUCGGGAGCAUUUGUUAGAAAUAGGAGAUUGAUUUUCCCUGAUACUAAAGGUACAUUACUUUUCUGCUUAACAAUUGAGAGGUUCCCUCACGGUUAAUAAGGAUUGAGAAGAAAACGCAAAGAACAAAAUAUUUAUUUAAAUAAGAAUUCAAAUAAAGGGU
rnacentral:rRNA from 1 species